rnacentral:rRNA from 1 species
AGCUCCAAUAGCGUAUAUUAACGUUGUUGCAGUUAAAAAGCUCGUAGUUGGAUUUCUGGCGGUCCUGGCCUUCAUUUCCUCACGGAUCUCGAGUGGCGAGGGCCCGCCAUCUUUGCGGAGAGCGCGUGUGGCAUUCAUUUGUCGUGCGCGGGAUCCGCAUCGUUUACUGUGAAAAAAUUAGAGUGUUUAAAGCAGGCGUUUCGCUUCUGAAUACAUUAGCAUGGAAUAAUGAGAAAGGACCUUGCGUGCUAUUUUGUUGGUUUGUACACCGAGGUAAUGAUUAACAGGGACAGUUGGGGGUAUUCGUAUUUGAUUGUCAGAGGUGAAAUUCUUGGAUUUAUUAAAGACGAACGACUGCGAAAGCAUUUACCAAGGAUGUUUUCAUUAAUCAAGAACGAAA